AUGAGAAGAGAACAUGUCCUGGGUGAUGGGGGUCCUUAAUGAUGUAUACUGCCUUCCCAAGGCACUGCUCCUUGGAUGAUAAUACGGGGGCUGGUACCCAUGAUGAACCUGACUAAUUUUACUCGUUUCUGUAACUUACUUCGACCUUGUGCAGUCGCAACCUCCGCCCCCACCAUACCAGACGAGGCGAUGCAGCCAGUCAGAAUGCUCUCCACGAUGCUGCCUGGCCUGCCGAGUUCCUCCAGCAUUUUGUGUGUACAGUAUUCCUUCCUGCCCUGGAGUCAGGCUCAUGGAGUUUCAUUAGAUUGAGUCCCAGGAUGACAGAUUGGGAGAGACUGGUCUGUACCGGACGCAACUCUUGUCCACCCCGAUCAAAACUGCACAAAGCAGCAAGAAAAUAAAGACUGACCAGAAACCUGAAACACAUCAAAACAUGAUCUACAGAGUCCAAUCCACAAACCGCAUUGAUUGAACCUUGAUCAAUGAGAUCCAUGGACACUGGCACCUUCCUCUAGCAGUGAGAGGGAGAGAGUAACUAUUCAUAUGUAGGCAUCUUCCUUCGGCAGCAGCAAGCGAGAGGCAGAGACCGUUUACAUGCAGCUAACUGGUGCUGAACACCCGCCCACUUCUGCUUUCCUCCAAUCUUCCUUGAUGCUUUAAUGUGGGAUUGGUGAAAAUGAAUUCAAUCAUGGACUCUCGUCCCUGUCUCCAGGAUUCUAAGCCCCCAGGCUGCAACCUUCACCAGAAUCCCUGCUGAGCUCCCUUGGAGACAGCAAAGCACAAGAUUGCUCAAUUGCCCUGAAAACACAUCACCAACAUAAAGAUCACAGGCUCCAUCAGUAGCAGAACCAUGCUUGAAAGAAAAAGAUGAAGAAAACAAGUGAAAGAAGUAAUUUUGUGAACUGUAAAAGGACCUCGCCCUCGGUUGUGUUGUUCAUUGGCUCUAUCUUCUUCUGUCUCAUCUUAAAUCUCUGUCCUCCAGUAUUUGGCAUUUCCAUCUUAGGGUGAAGGCUCUGAUUAUCUUGCUCAUCCAUUCCUCUUAUAAUUUUAUAUAGGUCUACCAGGUCACACCUCAAAUGUUCCAGAGAAAAUAUUCCAAGUUUUCCAAUGUCUCCUUUUAAUGAAUACUGUUUAAUCUAAUAACGUACUUGUGAACCUUCUCUGCACCCAGUGCAAAGCCUGUACACUCCUUCUGUAGUGUGAUGACCAGAAUUCAUACUCCUACUUAGUGGGUCAGUAGACAUCUGUAAAAUCAAAAGGUAGAAAUCAAUACUUUGGGUUGAGUUCUUCCUCAGUGCUCCCAUGAAUGCCUUUCUUUCAGGAGGUGUCAGUGAGAAGUCGUUGCCACGUCGAAUGGAUAAAAGUGAGUCAAUAGAUGGCAAAUAGAAGUGGGAAGCACAGUGGCACUGCUCAUAGAGUCACAGCCUCAGAGGCCAGAGACGUGGUUUCAAUCCUGAUCUCGGGCACUAUCUGUGAGGAAUUUUCAUGUUCUCUCUCUGACUAGAUGAGUUUCCUCAAGGUGCUCUGCCUUCUCAGAAGCAGAACCAGAAUCAGGUUCAUAAUAAAGAUCCUCACCACCCAGGCCUUGGCAUCUUCUCACAGAUACUAACGGGCAGAAGGUAUAGAAGCCUGAAGUCCCGCACCAGCAGAUUCAGGAGCAGCUAUGUCCCUUCAACCAACCUGCGCAGCCCCAAUCACUACCUCAGUAUAACAACACUAAGACUACUUUGCCUCUCUCCACUGCAAUGGAUGUGCACACUUUUGGUCUAAUUACAUUCAUUCUUGUAUAAUUUUGUAUAAUUUACUGUAUGUGUAAUUUAUGUUUUUCUUAUGAAUGUCGUGCCUCUAAUGCUACAUGCCUGUUAUGCUGCUUCCAGUAAUUUUCCUUUAAGUAGCAGCUAUUAGCAAUAAAUUCAUCUUUACUUCUCUUACAUCCUAAAGGCAUGCAGGUUACUAGGUUAAUUUGCUACAGUAAAUUGCCCCUAAUGUGUAUGUGAGUGGUGGAAUCUAAGGACAAUGUGAGGAGAAUAAAAUGGGAUUAAUGCAGAAUUAAUGAAAAAUGGUGUUUGAUAGUCAGCAUGGACUCAAUGGGUCUGUUACUCUACUUCUCAGAAGAUCUAUCUCCAUGCUACAGUACAUCUCACUAUCUACAAUUGUAUCAGUAAUUGUCCCUCCCAUCACCGUUCUUGUUCCCGUUUCCCCCUCACCUCAUCUCCUUACCUCCCAUCAUCUCCCUCUUUCCGUUCUUCCUUCUACUCUCUCCUAUCAGAUUUCCCCCUCUCCAGCUCUUUAUUUCUUUCAUCUAUCCGCAUCCCAGCUCUUUACUUCACCUCUCCCUCUCUCCUGAUUUCACCUAUCACCUACCAUCAGUUACUUUUUCCUCUCCUACCGCCACCUUCUUGUUCUAACUUCUCAUCUUUUCUCUGGACCUGAUGAAGGGUCUCAGCCCUUUCCAUAGAUGCUGCCUGAUCUGCUGAGUUCCUCCAGCAUUUUGCAUGUGAUGCUUUGGAUUUCCAGCAUCAGUCGAUUCUCUCGAACAUCUCUAUCUAUAUGUUGAAUGAGUGAGUGGGUCAAUGAAGAAGUACUCUUUCACCUUCCUCAAUGCAUUGUCAAAGACAGAGUUGAGUUUAUUGUCAUGAGCAGCAAGUCCAUGUAUGCACAAGUGCAAUGAAAAACUUAUUUGUAGCAGCAUCACAAGGACAUAGUAUCACAGCAGCAGCAAACACAAGAAAAAUACAAAUUAAACAUAAAUUAUACAUGGGUCUUACAAGAUAAAAUAUAGUUAGAACAAAAAAAAUCGAGAGCCCUGCUGGCAGCCGAUGGGGUAACAUCUUUUUGAACUUGCUCCUACCUUAUCUAUCUUCUUGUUUCUUAUCAGUUUUUUGAAACCUUAUUAUAAAUCUUAACAUUACUCUAUUACGUCUUUGAGAAAGACUAAAGCCUCUGCAAAAGAAAAAGAAGAUGAUUCUCCAACCACUUUGGAAUCAAUUGAUUUCCUUAAAAAGCAAAGAACAGAACUCUCUGAGGUAUUUCAAUAUCUUAAUGUCAAUUUGGACACUAUUCAACAAACUAUAAUCGAACAUGAAAAGUGAAUCAAGGAGAAUAAAGAAACAUAGAUACUGGAAACGGACUUAGAAGACAUGAGUAGGCUCUGCAAAAAAUUUAUCAUAUCUAAUGAAAAAUUAACAAAGAAGAUAACCAACCUGGAAAGCAGAAGUAGAAGGAACAAUCUACAUAUUCUGGGUCUUGAAGAAUCAAUUGAAGGUGCCCACCCCACGGAGUUCUUUGCAAGUUUUCUGAAGCAGCUAUUUCCUGUUUUAUUGCUGUCUGUGCCUAAGUUGAAAAGUGCCCACUGGUCACUGGCCCCCAAACCAAAGUCAGGAAAGCGUCCAAGAUCAGUUAUUUUAUGUUUUCAUGAACUUCAUAUUAAGGAGCUUUUAAUCAAUCAUACCCGUCAAAUAGGAAUGAUCGACUACAAUGCGAAGAUAAUCAGAUUCGUGGAAGACUAUACACCGGAGGUUAUGGCUGAACGUGUUAAGUACGAAGAGGUCAUGUCGCUGCUUUAUAAUAAAGGAAUUAAGCCCUCCCUUUGCUUCCCCGCACAUCUUAGAAUUGUUCUGAAAAAUGGUGUGCAGAAAUGGCUGGGAUCGGUUGAACACGCACAGAAGUUUUUGAAAGCAGAAGAUUAAUCACGUUAUAUCUCUUACAAGAGCAAUUAUCUUUUUAAUGUUGGAUAGAAUAAAGUUUUCAUUAUCUUACAUUUUGACCAUUUAUAUAUCUUGUUUUGUGAUAUUUUCUUUGAUUUUUUUACGACUUUAUUCUUUUUUUGAGGGUUUUCUAUAUAUUUGUUUUGAAAUUGUUAAAAUGAAUCCUAUUAUGUUUUGGAUUUCUGAUCUAAGUUUUUUUUCUGUUUGUCUUGGUAGGAACAUAAUAACCUUGGAUGAUUGGAGUUUUGCCAGCAGGAAUUCUUUGGGAGGGUUGUCUUUAGGGUUUAGCAUGUCAACUAUUCUUUGGCUGGCUUUAUAGCUUUGGGAGGGCAAGGGGGAGGGGGUCUUUUUUUCCUUUUUUCUCUGGAAGCUGGGUUGGCUACCAUCCAAAUUCUCUGUUUGAAUACCUUUUCUUAUGGUUUGUUCUCUGGUUCUAAUAAUUUAUGGUCAGAUCUUUUAACUUAUCUGUUAAUUAGCAUUUAUAAUGGAUCAAAAUAUUAAUUUACUUAGUUUUAAUGUGAAAGGGUUAAAUCAUCCUGUGAAACAGAAUAAGAUUUUUGCUUAUAUUAAAAAGUUAAGGGCUCCCAUUAUUUUUCUACAAGAAACGCAUGUACGUAGUUGUGACAAUGCAUGCCUUUUUAAUCGAUGGAGGGGCCUACAAUUUCAUUCUUCAUUCAGAGCAAAAUCUCGAGGGGUCUUGAUUUUUAUAGAUAAUGCAAUUUCUUUUGUUCACAUAAAGUUGUCUCUGACCCUAAUGGGUGAUUUGUCAUAGUGUCAGGGAAACUAGAUAAUAAAUUAAUUUUAUUUGCUAAUGUGUAUGCUCCCAAUGUGGAUGACCCAGGAUUUUUUAAGCAUUUCUUUUUAUUCCUGCCGGAUUUGAGUUUUUAUUCUUUAAUGAUGGGAGGAGAUUUUAAUUGUUGUCUAGACCCAGUAUUAGAUCAUUCUUCUCUUAAAUCAGUCACACCUAAUAAAUCAGCUUUAUUUUUUCAAUCCUUUCUAAUGAAGUGUGAUAUUGUUGAUAUCUGGUGGGGUUUUUUUUUACCCAGCAGAAAGGGAGUAUUCAUUCUUCUCUCAUGUCCAUUAUUCCUAUACCAGGAUAGAUUAUUUUUAUUUUAUUGAUAGUCAAAUGAUUCCAUUAAUUUAAUCCAUUGAAGAUAAAGCAAUAGCUGUAUCCGACCAUUCUCCUGUAUUUCUGUCUUUAAAUCUUCCUGUUUUCACUCACAUGAACAGAUCCUGGCAUUUUAAUUUAACUUUGUUAUCUGAUAAGGACUUUCCAAAAUUUCUGGAGAAUCAAAUUACUCUUUUUUUGAAGAAAAUGCAUUGGAAGAGACUUCUAGUCUUAUCAGUUGGGAUGAUUUUAAGGCAUAUAUUAGAGGACAAAUUAUCUCCUAUACUGCAUAUAUUAAGAAAAAAGCUAAUAAAGAGAGAACUGAUUUAGUUAAUUAAUUAGAACAAUUAGACCAGGAAUAUGCUUUGGCACCAGACCCUGAACUAUACAAAAGAUGUAUUGAAAUUAAAACUAAAUAUGAUCUUCUUAUAAUAUAUCCAAUUGAAAGCCAACUUUUAAAAGAUAGAAGCCAAUCCUACAUAUAUAUAGAGAAAAAACUGGUAAACUAUUGACUAAUCAAUUGAAGACCUCUAUAGCUAAACAGCAAAUUACAGAAAUUUGCAAGACCAAUGGUUAUAUGACAACUGACCAUUUUGAAAUAAAUGAAAACACAAAAUGCUGGCAGAACUCAGCAAGCCAGACAGCAUCUACGGGAGGAGGUAGUGAUGAUGCUUUGGCCCAAACCGUCAUCACUACCUCCUCCCAUAGAUGCUGUCUGGUCUGCUGAGUUCUGCCAGCAUUUUGUUUUUUUAUUUAUUUCCAGCAUCUACAGAUUCACUCGUGUUGCCUUUGAAAUAAAUGACACUUUUAGAGAAUUUUAUUCUAGUUUGUAUAGCUCUGAUUUUGUUAAAGAUAAUACUGCAAUGAACAAUUUUUUAAAUGAAUUAAAUAUUCCUGGACUUUCAGUUGAUAAUCGAAAGCAGUUGGAUCAACCUAUUUCUCAGGAGGAAAUCACUGAAGCUAUAUGUUCUUUGCAUUCUGGGAAAUCUACAGGACUUGACGGAUACUCUGGAGAAUUUUAUAAGGCUUUUUCUUCAUUGCUUAUACCUUAUUGAUGUUCUACCUUUGCAGAUUCCUUUAAGGUGGGUAGGUUGCCAGUGUCUUUUUAUGAAGCUUCCAUUUUGCUUAUUCUUAAAAAGAAUAAAAAUCCCACUGAAUGUUCUUCAUAUAGACCAAUCUUUUUACUCAGUGUUGAUGCUAAGAUCCUAUCUAAAGUUUUGGCCCGUAGACUUGAAAAUAUUAUACCUUCUAUAAUAUCUGAUUAUCAGACAGGAUUUAUUAAAAAUCGAUAUUUCCAUUUUAAUAUAUGGUGACUGUUAAAUGUUAUGUAUUCUCCAUCCUAGGAAAUAUUGGAAUGUGUAAUUUCUCUGGAUGUAGAGAAGGCUUUUGAUCGAGUUGAAUGGCAUUACCUAUUUAAAACCUUAGAAAAAUGUAAUUUUGGACCAAAUUUUAUUCAUUGGAUUAAAUUACUUUACUUAUCUCCCUCUGCUUAUUUCCUUACUAAUUUUCAGAUUUCUAAGCCAAUUAAGCUCUAACGUGGAACCAGACAAGGAUUCUGUUGAGCCCUUUGCUUUUUGAUUUGGUAUUAGAACCUUUAGCAAUUGCUUUUCAAGAGUCUAAAGAUAUCGCCGGUAUCUUAAGGAAAGGUACUAUUCAUAAAGUCUUGCUUUAUGCUGAAGACCUAUUGCUUUUUAUAUCUAAUGUUACAACUUCUUUAUUCUCUAUGUUUCCUUUACUGACUAAUUUUAGUCAGUUUUCAGGAUAUAAAUUGAAUUUACAUAAGAGUGAAUUGUUUCCUUUAAAUAAUUUGAUACUAACUGAUAUUAACCUUCCUUUUAAAAUUGUAAGAAAACAAUUUAUA